GGAGGGUGCAAGCGUUAAUCGGAAUUACUGGGCGUAAAGGGCGCGUAGGUUGUUUUAUUAGUCAGAUGUAAAAUCCCUAGGCUUAACCUAGGAGUGCCAUCUGAAACGGUGAGACUGGAGUACGAGAGAGGGGAGUGGAAUUUCCGGAGUAGCGGUGAAAUGCGUAGAUAUCGGAAGGAACACCAGUGGCGAAGGCGACUCUCUGGCUCGAUACUGACACUGAGGCGCGAAAGCGUGGGUAGCAAACAGGGAUUAGAUACCCUGGUAGUCCACGCUGUAAACGAUGAGUACUAGCUGUCGGAUUUACGGAUUCGGUGGCGUAGCAAACGUGCUAAGUACUCCGCCUGGGGAGUACGGCCGCAAGGUUA
rnacentral:rRNA from 1 species